rnacentral:rRNA from 1 species
AGCUAGGGAGUGGGAGAGGUAGACGGUACUCGGGAGGAAGUGGUAAAAUGCUUUGAUCUCUCGAUGACCACCUGUGGCGAAGGCGGUCUACCAGAACACGUCCGACGGUGAGGGAUGAAAGCUGGGGGAGCAAACCGGAUUAGAUACCCGGGUAGUCCCAGCUGUAAACUAUGCAAACUCAGUGAUGCAUUGGCUUGUGGCCAAUGCAGUAUUGCAGGGAAGCCGUUAAGUUUGCCGCCUGGGAAGUACGUACGCAAGUAUGAAACUUAAAGGAAUUGGCGGGGGAGCACCACAAGGGGUGAAGCCUGCGGUUCAAUUGGAGUCAACGCCAGAAAUCUUACCCGGAGAGACAGCAGAAUGAAGGUCAAGCUGAAGACUUUACCAGACAAGCUGAGAGGUGGUGCAUGGCCGUCGCCAGCUCGUGCCGUGAGAUGUCCUGUUAAGUCAGGUAACGAGCGAGAUCCCUGCCUCUAGUUGCCACCAUUACUCUCAGGAGUAGUGGGGCGAAUUAGCGGGACCGCCGCAGUUAAUGCGGAGGAAGGAAGGGGCCACGGCAGGUCAGUAUGCCCCGAAACUCUGGGGCCACACGCGGGCUGCAAUGGUAAUGACAGUGGGUUCCAAAUCCGAGAGGAGGAGGUAAUCCCCAAACAUUACCACAGUUAUGACUGAGGGCUGCAACUCGCCCUCACGAAUAUGGAAUCCCUAGUAACUGCGUGUCAUUAUCGCGCGGUG